UUCCAAAAAUAGAACCGUCAAACCCGACACUUUCUAUUUUUAGAAACUCGCACAUAUUUCUCUUACACAUGACACAACAAGUCAAAUCCAAGAAAUACUCAUCUUAUUAAUCUCCAAUAUCAUAAUCAUUACACCAAAAAUGAAAAUACAAAAGAGAUACAACCAAUAAAAAACUUAAAACAGAACAAGCCAACGGCUCCCAAGUCUUCAUCCUGCUUGUCAAACCACUUCUGGAACCUUGCCUUCAUCCUGGCCACUGGCUCCCAAGUCUCUUCCAAUACUCCAUCACAGUCCCACUGGACUCUCAUCAAAGGAAUCUUCUUACGGCGAAGUUCCUUUAC
rnacentral:lncRNA from 1 species